AAUACUGCAGAGCAGCCAACGAGGAGAAAAUGCCACAUGAUUUAAAUGUGAAAAACACUACUCAUUCACAUUGAGUUGCUGCCACAUAAGCAAAAGCAAAAGAAAAAAGCCGCCAAAAGAGAACAACUUCGUAUCCUUCCCUCCCACCCUAUGUAUUCGAUCUCUACGUUCUCUUUACGCGCUUGACUCUCUCAGUCUAUCAGUUUCUCAAAUUGACUCAACUGAAAUGGAAUCUCCAUUGAUUCCUGCUAAUAACGAUGGUGUUACAUCAGAUCAGCUCUUAUCUUUCUCGGCACCGGCUGCUUCAACUCCGUGCCAUUCCCACUGUGCCUGAUCCAGCCGUCUGAUCUUCCAUCCAUGUUUGCUCCAUGGCCCUCUCGAUCCUCCCUGAGCAAAACCCCAACUAUAGGUGUAAUACAACUCUGCUUAUAGAUUGUUGCCAGAGUGAUGGGAAACGCAAUUGCAUACUAAUUGAUGUCGGGAAGACAUUUAGGGAGCAAGUGCUUAGGUGGUUUACUUUCUACCGUAUUCCUCGACUGGAUUCUGUAAGUAAUGUUUCUGUCAUUUUAUGUUUAAUUUGUCGACCGAAACUCUCUGCUAACUGUAUGAAAGUAUUUUGUCAUGACUCGCAUUGGUUGGACAAAAUAGCCACGACAAGUUUGCAUAUGAGCUUGGAUUGAUUUCGAAGAGAUUCUGAUUGUGUUAUUUCCAAUGAUAUGAAUGGAAAUCUAUUUUCAAUUCUUUAUUAUUAUCUGAGCGAACAAAGUUCAAAUUGGGAAACAAGAUACAACCAGGACCAGGCUAGGAAGCAUCGGCAUCACCAUCUUCUUGGAAUUGAUGACAUACGUGCUGUGGAACCAGUUAGUCUGAAAAAUGAUAUUGAUAGAACCCCCAGUUUUCCUGAGCCAGUUUGCCAUGGAUAGCAUUGCUUUGAAGAUUCCCUAAUUGAUAAAGAAAAAAUGAAGGGAAGGUCAGGAAAUAAGGGGGGUAGCACAGCUAGAUUGGAAGAUAAUUGCAGAAGAUUGUCGGAGCUCAUUUGUUGCUCAGGCUUACAGUUUGUCCCUUUGCCAGUUACAUUGAAACUCUCUUCAAAUACACAUGCGCAAAAAGACAAAAUGUAUGCAUCCUCAUUGUUUACAGAUGCUUUCUCAUGCAGGUAAUGCAUGUAGAGGACUAUAUUUGCUUGGGAUUUCUCUUUGGCCAAAAAAGCCGGAUUGCUUAUAUAUUUGAUGUUGCACGUUUUCCUGCAAGCACAGAAUAUGGCCCUUGAAGCAAUGAAGAGAUUAGUCCAAGGCUAGCUCUUCUAAUUGGAAGGAAUCAUGAGUUUGAUCAUUACGAGGACAAUGACUUCUUGGCAGAAUGGUCUGAAAGGCGUAAAAUUUAUUCCAUAGUCUUAAUGACAUGCAUUUUCAAUUACAUAUUGAUUUGGCUGUUGAAUAAAAUGCAGUAUUGAGAUAAUGUCGUGUCAGCAGAGUUCAACAGGAUUAUGGUUUUGUGUUAUAUUUUGUCUGCAUUCUUCUUUUUAUAUUGAUCGAAGAUUAAGCAACUGAUAUUCUUUUGUCACCUUCUGUUUCUAGGGCAGGAAUAUCGGUGCAGCUUGCACGUGAUGGUUUGAGAGUUCCUAUACACCUAUGAUAAGGUCAGCCAGUAUAAUAAGUCUCAUUGAUUACUAGGAGCAUAAAAUUCUUUCUCACUUAAAAGAGUGAUCGUAGUUUGUUGAGUUGCUUGCCUACAUCAUCAGACAACCCAUGUAUGAACUUUCAAACUUACUGAUAUUGAAACUGCCUGUUUUUCAAUGAGUAGUGGUUUGUCAUUACAUUUCUGUUUAUUUUUAUUAUCAAUAUUAAGCUUUCAACC